rnacentral:rRNA from 1 species
GACGUAGGGCGCGAGCGUUGUCCGGAUUUAUUGGGCGUAAAGAGCUCGUAGGCGGCUUGUUGCGUCGGCUGUGAAAACCCGCGGCUUAACCGUGGGCUUGCAGCCGAUACGGGCGGGCUGGAGGUCGGUAGGGGAGACUGGAAUUCCCGGUGUAGCGGUGAAAUGCGCAGAGAUCGGGAGGAACACCGGUGGCGAAGGCGGGUCUCUGGGCCGAUACUGACGCUGAGGAGCGAAAGCGUGGGGAGCGAACAGG